GAUGCUGAUGCAGCUAAAGCUCGUAGUUGAUUUCUGGUCGUGGCAAUCGGUCAGCCCCUCACGGGGUUCGUACCAGGUUGCUGCGUCCAUCCUCGGGGAGAGCAUAUCGGGCAUUCAGUUGUCUGGUGUGGGAUCCUCGUCAUUUACUGUGAGCAAAAUAGAGUGUUCAAAGCAGGCUUAGGCCGUUGAAUACAUUAGCAUGGAAUAAUAAGAUAGGACCUUGGUCUAUUUUGUUGGUUUGCGUUCCAAGGUAAUGAUUAAUAGGGAUAGUUGGGGGUAUUCGUAUUCAAUUGUCAGAGGUGAAAUUCUUGGAUUUAUGGAAGACGAACUACUGCGAAAGCAUUUACCAAGGAUGUUUUCAUUAAUCAAGAACGAAAGUUAGGGGAUCGAAGAUGAUUAGAUACCAUCGUAGUCUUAACCAUAAACUAUGCCGACUAGGGAUUGGUGGACGUUUAUUACGACGCCAUCAGCACCUUAUGAGAAAUCAAAGUCUUUGGGUUCCGGGGGGAGUAUGGUCA
rnacentral:rRNA from 1 species